UACGUAGGGUGCGAGCGUUGUCCGGAAUUAUUGGGCGUAAAGAGCUUGUAGGCGGUCUGUCGCGUCUGCUGUGAAAAUCCGGGGCUCAACCCCGGACUUGCAGUGGGUACGGGCAGACUAGAGUGUGGUAGGGGAGACUGGAAUUCCUGGUGUAGCGGUGAAAUGCGCAGAUAUCAGGAGGAACACCGAUGGCGAAGACAGGUCUCUGGGCCACUACUGACGCUGAGAAGCGAAAGCAUGGGGAGCGAACAGG
rnacentral:rRNA from 1 species